UAUAUUAUUAAAACAACAAACAAUUAACGGCAGAGAUUGAUCAAUCUACACCCAAAGAGUUUUAACGGCGGAUAGCUAAGAUAUCAUCGUGCGGUCGGGCUAGCUACCGCCUGCCGCCAUGUAGAUUUCAUCUCAUAUUGCCCUACAAUCCUUUAAGGCAGUUGCAACGACCCCGUGUUUAUAUCAAUCGAACAGUUGUCAUCUUUAGCGGACAUCAUCAUCUUCGGCGGCCGGCGGCUGGGCGGCUCGCUCUCCAGAGAUCCAAUGUAGGCGUCUUUAGCGGAUAUUACGGCCGGCCGGCCGGGUCGUUCUCUAGCGGCCUGUGUUUCCUCUUCAUCUAGGCAUGUAAGGUUGCUGCUCACCGUCCGGCUUGAUUACACAACAGACGUAUACAAGCUGGAGCGGUUAAAUAAUGGAAGUCCGGCCCAAAAGAUGAUCACCAGCAGGCCAGUGAAAAACAGCAGAUCAAUUUUAUUCACCGUCUCCGCUUUGUUCGAUAGCGCUGCCGUCUGCUGAUUUCACAAGCCGGCCACACAAAGACCACAACGGGCCGAUCAAUUAUCGAUACUCAUUAACAUGAUGCGUUAGAAAGCGGAGCAGGGCAGGGACUCCACAGAUAAGCUUCGAAACAGAGAAGUGCUAGCAGGUGGAGAAUCGUUUGAUGAGAUGUACGCCGGCCAUGUUGCGGUAGGUUCUGCAAGGGAGAAGAAAUUAUUGGCUGAUCCAGAAAAAGUUGUUAUUCACAUAAGCUUCUAUCAUUUAGAGGGACACCGUAGUGACAUUGCAGUGAAAUGAAAAUAUUGAUGGAGAAAGGUUGGAAUCUGCGGGGCUUUCUUCUGCUAGCAUAUCUAGGUAGCUUAAAUCAAGUAAGUUACGCUUACAUGUACUAUAUAUGUCUGCAAAUGUUGUACCUUAUAUUGUACACACUUGAAUGCCAUGUCCUUCCUCGAUUAUUUUUAAAUGUUAAACGUAACAUUAGGCAGGUGUAGAAAACACUUACACAAAAUCACACACCAUUUUCUUAACUAUGUCAUUCUACUAGAGUUUCAAUUUUGCUAUUAGUAUUAUAAUUCCACAACUUUCAUAAUUCCUUCAACCAAAAUGGUGAGCUUCUCUUUAGUUCCCAUUUGUCUGUUUCUGUUACAAAAUAUAGGUAAGCUUGCAAGACUAGCUCAAAACUAUAUUCUUUGAUCUUUAUAUGAACAAUCAUAAAAUCAGCAGGGCUGUGGAUAAAUUUGGAGUCAAGCAAAGAAACUAGAAGAGAAAAGACAAUAGUUUUUGGUGGAGUAGCACCUAAUACGGAAAUGUGUUAUUUGCGUCAUAUUUAACAUGCGAACAUGUGUAUUAUAUUUUCAGUGAUAUGUGUAUGCUUCUACCAGGGCAGGAGGAGUGAAUCCGGAACGUUGGCGUGUUUCCUUAUAAAUUACAAUUAGCUAUGUAGAACUAUUCAUUUUCAAACCACUGAAAACUAAUAUCUUUUAAUGCAAAAAUUAUCAUAAUAGUCUGGGCAGACAUUAUAUAUUCUUUUGUCACAGAGUGGUACAAAUGAAAGAUAAGAGCUUUGAGGUGCUGUUAAAGAAUGGAGUGAGAAACCGGUGUUAGAUCUAUCAAAAUUAGAGCUGGUCAACGUAAUUUGGGAGCCCUUCAUUUUCUUAUGUUUCAUUUCUUUUGUUGAAACAGUUUUGUGGGUAUGGUCACCGCUGAGAAUAUAUACUAUUUUUGAAGGUUUACUUUUUAAAGCUAAAGUAACUCUUGAGGAUUACUUCCGAGAUAUCUUCAAAAGUAUAAAAUACAAGUUAACACAUGUUUCUUGGGGUCGAUAUUUCAUAUGUAUAAUCCUUCUUUUAGUUUUACUAUUUAUCUAUCCAUUUUGACAGCACAUGUAAUAUAUGCUAAAGAUAAGUAGGAUACCAUUAUUAUGUGGAGUAAGCAUGCUCUGCACAAUAAAAAGAAUCUACAUGAUUAUAGUUGAUGAUAAUGCGGGUGAAAAAAAAAAAACAUCUGAGGUACAGAUUAGCCGAAUUAAUCUUACAUUUAUUUGUUGAUGGGCAUUCAUAAAAGAUGAAAAGAAACUUCACCAUGAGUCAACCACAAAGCACAAAAAUAUGCAUUGAACAAAAGAUGCUUUGAUUUUUAUAACUUUGGCUAAACAUUUUUCCGCUCAGAUUUCUUCAUAACACUACCAUUUAUAAUUAUAUAUAAUAACAUGUUGACUAAUAAUGGUCAAAGCUCGGAAGAUUAAGACUAUGACUAAUAAUGGUCAAAGCUCGGAAGAUUAAGACCAUGUUAACAAUAUAUCGAAAAUCUAGCCGCGCAAAUGCGCGGG